rnacentral:sRNA from 1 species
CCUCUGCCUCCCAAGUAGCUGAGACUACGGGUGUGCGCCACCACCUGGCUAAUUUUUGUGUUUUUGUAGAGACGGGGUUUUACCAUGUUGGCCAGGCUGGUCUCAAACUUCUGAGCUCAAGUAAUCUGCCUGCCUCAGUGUCCCAAAGUGCUGGGAUUACAGGCAUGAGCCACCGCACCCACCUUACAGCCUUUUUUCUUUCCUGAUUCGAGAUUUAAUAUGAUCAUUUCUUUCAUUUAGUGCCAUGUCUGUAUUUUAAAGUUAGGUUUGUUGUUGUUUUUCUGGCCUUCACAUUGCUUUUUAAUUCAGACUCACUUAACAUAGUAGUACUGUUUUUUGACUCUAGAAGUACAGUGAAUAUGACUGUUAUCAACUCUCUGUUCCUCAAAGCCACAUCUGAAAUCAACUUUGAAAAACAAUUAUAUUUUCGUAGCUUUGAGUAUGGAAAACAAAUUACUGUUUGCCCUAUAUUAUCUUUACAAGGCAAAUUCAGUCAAGCUUUAAAAACUACUGGAUUAUACAUUUGUAGUCUAUAUCAUAAUCUUAAAUAGAUAUUCUUAGUGUGAGAAUGCUUUAUGUUUAAAGAACCUAAACUUUACAAUGAAAUUGUUUAAAUUUUAUCACGUCAGUAUUUUUGCUGGUGCUCCAGUGCUUUCUGGAUUUAAGCUGAAUCUCAAAAGAUCUGUCAUUUUAAAAAGAACACUAAAACAUAGACUUUAUAGGAAGGCCUAUAAGGUUAAAUUCAUAUAUCUCAGAUAUACGAAAAGUUUUGACAUAUGUCUAAAUAGAGAAUUUUUACUACCGUGAUAUCUCGUAAUUUUUUUUUUUAUUUCCAGUGUGUGCCAUAUUUAAUUGCUAUGGGCACAGACCCAGAACCUGCUAUGCGGAACAAGGCUGAUCAGCAACUUGUGGAAAUAGACAAAAAAUAUGCUGGAUUCAUUCAUAUGAAAGCAGUGGCUGGUAUGAAGAUGUCUUACCAGGUACAACAGGCAAUCAACACAUGCCUAAAAGAUCCUGUAAGGGGUUUCAGACAAGACGAGUCCUCUAGCGCUUUGUGUUCACACCUUUACUCCAUGAUCCGUGGAAACCGCCAACACAGACGAGCCUUUCUUAUUUCUUUACUCAACCUCUUUGAUGACACAGCAAAAACAGACGUGACUAUGCUCUUGUAUAUAGCAGACAAUCUAGCCUGUUUUCCAUACCAGACACAGGAAGAGCCGUUGUUUAUAAUGCAUCAUAUAGACAUUACACUCUCAGUUUCUGGUAGUAACCUACUGCAGUCAUUCAAGGAGUCUAUGGUAAAGGACAAAAGGAAAGAGAGAAAAUCAUCACCUAGUAAGGAAAAUGAGUCAAGCGACAGUGAAGAAGAAGUUUCCAGGCCUCGGAAGUCACGGAAACGUGUAGAUUCAGAUUCAGAUUCAGAUUCAGAAGACGAUAUAAAUUCAGUGAUGAAAUGUUUGCCAGAAAAUUCAGCUCCUUUAAUCGAAUUUGCAAAUGUGUCCCAGGGUAUUUUAUUACUUCUAAUGUUAAAACAACAUUUGAAGAAUCUUUGUGGAUUUUCUGAUAGUAAAAUUCAGAAGUACUCUCCAUCUGAAUCUGCAAAAGUAUAUGAUAAAGCGAUAAACCGAAAAACAGGAGUUCAUUUUCAUCCAAAACAAACACUGGACUUCCUGCGGAGUGACAUGGCUAAUUCCAAAAUCACAGAAGAGGUGAAAAGGAGUAUAGUAAAACAGUAUCUAGAUUUCAAACUUCUCAUGGAACAUCUGGACCCUGAUGAAGAAGAAGAAGAAGGGGAGGUUUCAGCUAGCACAAAUGCUCGGAACAAAGCAAUUACCUCACUGCUUGGAGGAGGCAGCCCUAAAAAUAAUACAGCAGCAGAGACAGAAGAUGAUGAAAGUGAUGGGGAGGAUAGAGGAGGAGGCACUUCAGGGGUGAGGCGGAGGAGGAGUCAACGUAUUUCGCAGCGUAUUACUCAUUGAGAAGGUCAAAACGAAAUUCAGACUCUACGGAGUUGGCAGCACAGAUGAAUGAAAGUGUUGACGUCAUGGAUGUCAUCGCUAUUUGCUGUCCAAAGUACAAAGAUCGACCACAAAUUGCAAGAGUAGUGCAGAAAACCAGCAGUGGCUUCAGUGUUCAGUGGAUGGCAGGCUCCUACAGUGGCUCCUGGACUGAGGCUAAGCGCCGUGAUGGCCGCAAACUGGUGCCUUGGGUAGACACUAUUAAAGAGUCAGACAUUAUUUACAAAAAAAUUGCUCUAACGAGUGCUAAUAAGCUGACUAAUAAAGUUGUUCAGACUUUACGAUCCCUGUAUGCCGCCAAGGAUGGGACUUCCAGCUAAUGAAUUUGUACAUGCAGCCAAAUUUACAGGAAUUUUUUUAAAAGGCAGAAAAACUUGAAAUACCAACAUUCUGGCAAAAAAAAAUCAGUUUUAUGAAGAGUAAGUGGAACCUGGGAUGCAGGAACAAAAGAAGGAAAUGUUGGGCAAACAUUUUUGUGGGAGCUCCCUUCGCUGUUGUGCAGCAGAAACAGAUUCUCAGUUCAUUUUUACUCCCACUGUAUUAUAGUUUAACAAAAAUUGUUUAUAUCUUGGAAAAAAAACUUUCUGUUUAAAAAAAAUAAACAAGUGAAUGUUGGAAAUUAGUCUGUUAAUGUUCUUAAUAAAGUGUUCUUGGAGUUUAACCUAGCAGCGGAUGGCUUUCUUUAGCUUAGCCCAGUUUCCAGGGAAGCAUUGUUUUUUCCAGGCUGUAAAAUGGCAGAAUCUCCUGGAUAUAUAAUUUAUUCUGUUGAAAAAAAAAAAGCAUGCAGUAUCUAUGACCUAUCUGCAGAAGGAGUUUUUGUAAAUGUAGAUUUUGAUGUAUUAGGUCACCCUGAAAACAAUACAAGAAAAGGGAUCCCCAGGUAAUCUGGUGGAGCGAAUACUGCAAUAAAUUUUUUUACUUCUCUUUGU